UGGUGCUUUGACUCUUUUUUUUGAUUUAAGAAUUCUGAAUCUGCUAGAUAGAACAUUGUACCUAAUUCCUUGCACUUAAAAUAUUCAGAGACCGGUAGAUACCAGACACAUUCAACACACAGCUGCCACCCAAUAAAACACCACCUGAUGGGAAGUGACUGAUAGUAAUCUUGGUCAUCAACAGGAUAGGAUUUUAGCAACACUGUGGAAACACACCUCUGAAUGAAUCUAGGAGGGUGUUUCCAGAAAGAUUUAACUAAGGAGGGAGACCCACUUCCAGUGUAAGAGGCACCAUCCUAGAGGGUGGGGGCCUGGCCUGAGGAAAGGGGACUCAGAAAGCAGACUGAGUAAUGGCAUCCUCCACCCUCCCACUCUCUUCCUGAUUGCAGAAGCAAUGAGAGAAGAGAGCUCUCCCCACUGCCACCAUGCUUCCUCCACAGUAACAGACUGUAUCUGCUCCCUCUGUAACUAAAAUAAACCUUUUCUCUAAUUUGCUUCUUGUCAGGUGUUAGGUAACAGCAACAUGAAAAGUUACAAAUAUAUUGGCUUUCCGGAAAUGUAACUCUGUUACAGUGUUUCCUCCUAAGGAUUCUGAAAGGAGAAAGGAGAGUUACAAGGUGUACUGUUUACAUUUCUGAUCUAACCAACAAAAUGGCUAACACAAACAACUUAAUGGAGGAGUUUUCUGAGCUCACAAUUUGAGUGGGUUUACUCCCUGUGACUUGGUUUCAUGUACUUGAGUAGAACACAAUGGUAGCUGCUUUUGUGACAAAGGAGCUUCAUCAGGGCAGACAAUGAGCUGAUGGAAAAAGAUACAGGAAGGAAGAAGUGUAAUGGCUUGGGAGGCAUCAUUCAGACUGAUAAUGGAUUCAAUUGCCUGAAGAUCUGUCACAUUCUGCAUCCUUUUAUCACUCUCUUAGUGUGACAUAAACAACAUCAUGGACAAAAAGGACAAUGCCUUGCUGAUGUCUGGUGCUUGGUGUCUUCCUUUCUCCCCUGACAAGUGUUGCUUGUUUUGAUUCACAAGAAGUUUUCAUCAAUAAUGCUUUAUUAAAAUGAUAACUUAAAA